rnacentral:rRNA from 1 species
GAUAAACGCUGGCGGCGUGCUUAACACAUGCAAGUCGAACGAAGUUUUUCUUUCGGGAGGAACUUAGUGGCGGACGGGUGAGUAACGCGUGGGUAACCUGCCCUGUACAGGGGGACAACAGCUGGAAACGGCUGCUAAUACCGCAUAAGCCCUUAGCACUGCAUGGUGCAUAGGGAAAAGGAGCAAUCCGGUACAGGAUGGACCCGCGUCUGAUUAGCCAGUUGGCAGGGUAACGGCCUACCAAAGCGACGAUCAGUAGCCGAUCUGAGAGGAUGUACGGCCACAUUGGGACUGAGACACGGCCCAGACUCCUACGGGAGGAAGCAGUGGGGAAUAUUGCACAAUGGAGGAAACUCUGAUGCAGCGACGCCGCGUGAGUGAAGAAGUAUUUCGGUAUGUAAAGCUCUAUCAGCAGGAAAGAAAAUGACGGUACCUGACUAAGAAGCACCGGCUAAAUACGUG